GAAAUGCGAUAAGUAAUGUGAAUUGCAGAAUUCAGUGAACCAUCGAAUCUUUGAACGCACCUUGCGCUCCUUGGUAUUCCUUGGAGCAUGCCUGUUUGAGUAUCAUGAAAUCUUCAAAGUAAAUCUUUUGUUAACUCAAUUGGUUUCUACUUUGGUAUUGGAGGUCUUUGCAGCUUCACACCUGCUCCUCUUUGUUCAUUAGCUGGAUCUCAGUGUUAUGCUUGGUUCCACUCGGCGUGAUAAGUUAUCUAUCGCUGAGGACACUGUAAAAGGUGGCCAAGGUAAAUGCAGAUGAACCGCUUCUAAUAGUCCAUUGACUUGGACAAUACUUUUAUGAUCUGAUCUCAAGUCAGGUAGGACUACCCGCUGAACUUAAGC
rnacentral:misc_RNA from 1 species